GAUCAUGGCUCAGGAUGAACGCUAGCUACAGGCUUAACACAUGCAAGUCGAGGGGCAGCAUGACGAUAGCUUGCUAUUGUUGAUGGCGACCGGCGCACGGGUGAGUAACGCGUAUCCAACCUUCCCGUUGCUAGGGGAUAACCUUGCGAAAGUAAGACUAAUACCCUAUGAAGUUCUUCGCAGGCAUCUAAAGAGAACGAAAGAUUUAUCGGCAACGGAUGGGGGAUGCGUCUGAUUAGGUUGUUGGCGGGGUAACGGCCCACCAAGGCAACGAUCAGUAGGGGUUCUGAGAGGAAGGUCCCCCACAUUGGAACUGAGACACGGUCCAAACUCCUACGGGAGGCAGCAGUGAGGAAUAUUGGUCAAUGGGCGAGAGCCUGAACCAGCCAAGUAGCGUGCAGGAAGACGGCCCUAUGGGUUGUAAACUGCUUUUAUAAGGGAAUAAAGUGAGCCUCGUGAGGCUUUUUGCAUGUACCUUAUGAAUAAGGACCGGCUAAUUCCGUG
rnacentral:rRNA from 1 species